UGCAGUCGAGCGGGGAAGGGUAGCUUGCUACCUGACCUAGCGGCGGACGGGUGAGUAAUGCUUAGGAAUCUGCCUAUUAGUGGGGGACAACAUUCCGAAAGGAAUGCUAAUACCGCAUACGCCCUACGGGGGAAAGCAGGGGAUCUUCGGACCUUGCGCUAAUAGAUGAGCCUAAGUCAGAUUAGCUAGUUGGUGGGGUAAAGGCCUACCAAGGCGACGAUCUGUAGCGGGUCUGAGAGGAUGAUCCGCCACACUGGGACUGAGACACGGCCCAGACUCCUACGGGAGGCAGCAGUGGGGAAUAUUGGACAAUGGGCGAAAGCCUGAUCCAGCCAUGCCGCGUGUGUGAAGAAGGCCUUUUGGUUGUAAAGCACUUUAAGCGAGGAGGAGGCUACCGAGAUUAAUACUCUUGGAUAGUGGACGUUACUCGCAGAAUAAGCACCGGCUAACUCUGUGCCAGCAGCCGCGGUAAUACAGAGGGUGCGAGCGUUAAUCGGAUUUACUGGGCGUAAAGCGUGCGUAGGCGGCUUUUUAAGUCGGAUGUGAAAUCCCUGAGCUUAACUUAGGAAUUGCAUUCGAUACUGGGAAGCUAGAGUAUGGGAGAGGAUGGUAGAAUUCCAGGUGUAGCGGUGAAAUGCGUAGAGAUCUGGAGGAAUACCGAUGGCGAAGGCAGCCAUCUGGCCUAAUACUGACGCUGAGGUACGAAAGCAUGGGGAGCAAACAGGAUUAGAUACCCUGGUAGUCCAUGCCGUAAACGAUGUCUACUAGCCGUUGGGGCCUUUGAGGCUUUAGUGGCGCAGCUAACGCGAUAAGUAGACCGCCUGGGGGAGUACGGUCGCAGACUAAACUCAAUGAAUUGACGGGGCCC
rnacentral:rRNA from 1 species